UACGGGGGGGGCAAGCGUUACUCGGAAUUAUUGGGCGUAAAGGGUGCGCAGGCGGUCGUGGGCGUCGGAGGUGAAAUCCCCAGGCUUAACCUGGGAACUGCCUCCGAUACGGCAUGGCUUGAGUCCGGGAGAGGGGAGCAGAAUUCCCAGUGUAGCGGUGAAAUGCGUAGAUAUUGGGAGGAAUACCAGUGGCGAAGGCGGCUCCCUGGACCGGUACUGACGCUCAGGCGCGAAAGCGUGGGGAGCAAACAGG
rnacentral:rRNA from 1 species